rnacentral:misc_RNA from 1 species
CCGAGUGAGGGCCCCCGGCCCGACCUCCAACCCUUUGUUGACCAAACACCUGUUGCCUCGGGGGUGACCCGGCCUCUGCGCCGGCCCCCGGCGGACCACUUUAACGCUGUUUCUAUGCGUCGGAGUACUUGAUGAAUCAAUCA